rnacentral:tRNA from 1 species
GCCUGGCUGGCUCUGUUGGAAGAGAAUGAGACUCUUAAUCUCAGGGUCAAGGGUUUGAACCCCACGUUGGGUG